rnacentral:rRNA from 1 species
UACGUAGGGGGCAAGCGUUGUCCGGAAUCAUUGGGCGUAAAGAGCGUGUAGGCGGCCAGACAGGUCCGUUGUGAAAACUAGAGGCUUAACCUCUAGACGUCGAUGGAAACCGUUUGGCUAGAGUCCGGAAGAGGAGAAUGGAAUUCCUGGUGUAGCGGUGAAAUGCGCAGAUAUCAGGAAGAACACCCGUGGCUAAGGCGGUUCUCUAGUACGGUACUGACGCUGAGACGCGAAAGCGUGGGGAGCGAACAGG